GGGCGAUCUUCAUGGUGCUUAUUUUCACAAUUAUCUUCACUUGUUUGUGUGUUCCCCGACUAUCAUGGUCACAUGAUCUGGAACCUGUUCAUUAUUCACUUAUAUCUCCUGGAACGUAUCGACUGUAUGACACCACACCUUAUAAACAACAGCCCACUAUCUCGCAAUACCAUUCACUCACUGAAGCGGAAAGUUCCCAACAUCAGCCAUAUAGGUAAAUUUAGCUAAAGCUGUGUGGAAAUUUCUCUUUUUACCUAGUUUUCCUCGUGCCUUUUCUUUAAUACAAUAUCUUAUUGGUUAGUCUAGUAUCUUGGAGAAAUUAUCAGGUGAAUCUGCCCCAAAGGCCUAGAACUGUGCAUCCAACGGAACAGGCAUAAAAUGUCUUAAAAACAUGUGUUGAAGACAAAUCAAAUGAUAUAAAUAUCAUGCGAAAAUUUGUUCAAAACAGCCAAGCUAUUUUGUACGGCUACUCUCUUACAAAAAAUACUCCUUCUACAAUUUAGUGAACUUAAAGCCCCGUUUACACUACGCUCAAUUUUUGGUACGGCACGGAUAAAAUUGGUACAAAAAUCGAGCGUAGGUAAACGGGGCUCAAAAUAUCGUAGUCCAAGAACCAAUAAAGUGGUACGGGUACCAAUUUUAUCCGUGACGUACCAAAAAUUGAGCAUAGUGUAAACGGGACUUAACUCUUAAGCGACUUGCCAUUUGGAUGCGUAGUUGAAGCGUCCUAGCUUCGAUUAAUAAAUCCUGGUACUUCGAAGCUCACGUUUAAGCAGAAGCAUGCUAUCCCCUCUUCGGAAAUCUGGCCUCCUUUUAGACAAAUAUGAGCAUAAUUCAUAAUAACUGAGUCUCAUAUUUCACAAUUUUUACAUUCAUAUUUUUUUUGGCGGAGGAGCUGUUAUUGGACAGCUAAAAGUCUGGGGCCGGUUGUAUAAAAAGUGAUUAAAGUUAACUAUGGUUAAGUGCAAACGUCAUCCAAUAAGAAGCGCCUAUUUAAGAGUUAAUAACUAUUUAACUACAAAAUAGUGAUUAAAAAAGUGAUUAAAAGAGUUUUAUACAACCGGCCCCUGCAUUUUUGUUGUUGUGUAUCACAGGGUGUCCACGGGCCUUGAAAAUCCUGGAAAGUCAUUGAAGUGGAAAAACAAAAUUCCAGGACUGGAAAGUCCUUGAAAAUCAGUAUAAGUCCUUGAAAGUCCUGGAAUUAAUUUCCUUAACCUCCCGCUGUGCCAACAUUAGUGAUUUUGAUUAAAAUAACUGAAUAAAGUGAAUUAUUUACGGCAAAUCCGUGUCAUUUUCAAAGAUUUUUCCCAGUUCUAGGUCCUUGAAUUUACUGAAAAUGGGCCCUGAAUGUCCUGGAAAAGUCCUUGAAUUUCACCUUCACCCAAGGGUGGAGACCCUGGUGUCCGUAAACUCGAUAUCUAACGCAUGCAAAGGCCAUGCAGACAUGCUGAACUCACUCUGAAGUUCCUUAGUACCUUUCUCUAUUCACCCUGUAUAUAUAAUCAAACUCUUAUUACCACUCUUGACAGAUAUGAAAGACUCGUGCAGCAAACUCCACCUCAGUUCAACUACCCUGAGCCAUCAGCACCACCCAAAAGUCCUUAAGAAACAACGUGAGAAAUGAUAGUAAAUUAUUCAUAUUGUUUGGAGUUAGAAUAUUGCAAUAGUAGAAGUUAGAAUAUCAGAAUUUAGUAUAAUUACAAAGGUGAUUAGAGAAAAUUGUGGCCGCUGAUUGGUCAAGCGACCUCGGAUUAUUACGCGAUAAUCACCUAAGCGGUUUUUUCAAAAUGGCAGCGAGUUGUUUUGCCAAAGUGACAGAUAAAGAAAUAAGUAAUUUUAAAGAAAAUGCUGUACCUAAGAGCACGAAAGAAGAGACAAAAUUUGGCUUAAAAUUAUUUUGAGGUAGGAAACUAAGUUGCAGAAAUCUGCCUAACUUUAUUUCGCAUAAAACAUCGUUUUAUUUUAAAUUGCCG